rnacentral:rRNA from 1 species
CAGCAGCCGCGGUAAUACGUAGGGUGCGAGCGUUGUCCGGAAUUACUGGGCGUAAAGAGCUCGUAGGCGGUUUGUCGCGUCGUCUGUGAAAUUCUGCAGCUUAACUGUAGGCGUGCAGGCGAUACGGGCAGACUUGAGUACUACAGGGGAGACUGGAAUUCCUGGUGUAGCGGUGAAAUGCGCAGAUAUCAGGAGGAACACCGGUGGCGAAGGCGGGUCUCUGGGUAGUAACUGACGCUGAGGAGCGAAAGCGUGGGUAGCGAACAGGAUUAGAUACCCCAGUAGUCCCUGUCUCUUAUAC